GGAUGUAGGGGUAUGGGUGCAGUGACCCAGCCCUGGGUGCUAAUGGAGGGCUGGGAAGCGUCCCUCCACAGCUCACUUCUGGCACCAGCCCCAGAGCAGUGGCAGCCAUGUCCCAGUGGGCAGCCGUGGCCAUGUCACCAUGGUGUCACCAUGGUUGUCAUUGUGACACGGCCGCCUCGAAGGGUACAAAGAGGGCUGCUCCCCCAGGUGCAGGUGCAGGUGAAGCCAUGGAGGCAGAGGGUGCGAAGGGGUCCCUGGAGCAUGCACAGGAGUCCCUGGAGAACAUGGCGGAGGUCUUGGCGCAGGUCGCUCAGGCAAGGGCUGGUGUGGAAGCGGCGCUGGAGGAGUUCCUAAAGUGCAAACGGAGACGUGCAGAGCUGGAAGAGGCUGUUGCUGAAAGAGCCAGUAUCAACAAGGCUCUGAGGGAGGAGAUUAAGAACCUCCAGGAGAGAAGGGAGGUUUUCAAAACGCAAACUGCCAGCAGGGGGAAGAGGAUGCAGGCGGCCGAGGCGCCCAAGACCUGGAUGCAGGAGAUGGUGGCUGCGCAGCUGGAUGAAGAGUUGGCGUCAAGGAGGCACAGAAUCAGUACUUGGCUGCGGUGAGUUGCUCUCGCAGGUCGUGGCUCCCAAGGCAUUAGGCAGCUUUUGACCUCUCCAGGAUAAACUGCCUCAGCAUUUCUUUGUUUCCUGGGUUGGGGAAGCAGGUGGGGGGU
rnacentral:lncRNA from 1 species